AUCGAACGCUGGCGGCAUGCCUUACACAUGCAAGUCGAACGGCAGCACGGGAGCAAUCCUGGUGGCGAGUGGCGAACGGGUGAGUAAAGUAUCGGAACGUGCCCAGUCGUGGGGGAUAACGUAGCGAAAGUUACGCUAAUACCGCAUACGAUCUAUGGAUGAAAGCGGGGGAUCGCAAGACCUCGCGCGAUUGGAGCGGCCGAUAUCAGAUUAGGUAGUUGGUGGGGUAAAGGCUCACCAAGCCGACGAUCUGUAGCUGGUCUGAGAGGACGACCAGCCACACUGGGACUGAGACACGGCCCAGAUUCCUACGGGAGGCAGCAGGGGGGAAUUUUGGACAAUGGGCGAAAGCCUGAUCCAGCCAUGCCGCGUGCAGGAUGAAGGCCUUCGGGUUGUAAACUGCUUUUGUACGGAACGAAAAGGUUUGGGCUAAUAAGCUGAGCUCAUGACGGUACCGUAAGAAUAAGCACCGGCUAACUACGUGCCAGCCGCCGCCGUAA
rnacentral:rRNA from 1 species